rnacentral:rRNA from 1 species
ACCCGCUGAACUUAAGCAUAUCAAUAAGCGGAGGAAAAGAAACCAACAGGGAUUGCCUCAGUAACGGCGAGUGAAGCGGCAACAGCUCAAAUUUGAAAUCUGGAGUCUUCGACUUCCGAGUUGUAAUUUGAAGAGGAUGUUUCGGUUGUGGCCAUGGCCUAAGUUCCUUGGAACAGGACGUCGUAGAGGGUGAGAAUCCCGUACACGGCUGGUGGCUUACUUCCAUGUGAAACUCCUUCGAAGAGUCGAGUUGUUUGGGAAUGCAGCUCAAAAUGGGUGGUAAAUUUCAUCUAAAGCUAAAUAUUGGCGAGAGACCGAUAGCGCACAAGUAGAGUGAUCGAAAGAUGAAAAGCACUUUGAAAAGAGAGUUAAACAGUACGUGAAAUUGUUGAAAGGGAAGCGCUUGCAAUCAGACUCGCUUUCGGUUGAUCAAGGUUCCUUUUGGUUCCUGCACUCUGCCGUUUGCGGGCCAGCAUCAGUUGGAGCGGUGGGAUAAAGGCUUCGGGAAUGUGGCACCCUUCGGGGUGUGUUAUAGCCCGUCGCGUAAUACCGCCUGUUCCGAUUGAGGUCCGCGCUUUUGCUAAGAUGCUGGCUUAAUGGUGUAACCAACCCGUCUUGAAACACGG